UACAACAUAACGUUGUCCAUAAAUUCAC
rnacentral:sRNA from 1 species